GUUCAGACCGAAGACGACGCCACGGGCUGCAACACCAUUGCAAGAGACAGAUAUUGCAAAGGUACGGAAGGCAGACCGCGGCAUACAUAUCAUUUUAAUCAAUACGCCAUCGAUUAGCUCCCAACCCAAUGUCCGGGACUACCUAAAGCGGAAUCUGGCGUACUGAAAAUAUCUGGUACAAGAAUAUAAUUUACCAACAGAAGCUGGACCCAUGCAGUACAAAUUGCAAUAGAUUAAGCAAG